UACGUAGGGUGCGAGCGUUAAUCGGAAUUACUGGGCGUAAAGCGUGCGCAGGCGGCCAUGCAAGACAGAUGUGAAAUCCCCGGGCUCAACCUGGGAACUGCAUUUGUGACUGCAUGGCUAGAGUACGGUAGAGGGGGAUGGAAUUCCGCGUGUAGCAGUGAAAUGCGUAGAUAUGCGGAGGAACACCGAUGGCGAAGGCAAUCCCCUGGGCCUGCACUGACGCUCAUGCACGAAAGCGUGGGGAGCAAACAGG
rnacentral:rRNA from 1 species